rnacentral:SRP_RNA from 1 species
GUGCGGGUCCUGUACAAUGAAACGCUGUGAACCAUGUCAGGCGGGGAACCGAGCAGCAUUAAGCGGUUUGUUUCGUGUGUUACAGUUUCGCCUGCACGCCUAUA